rnacentral:rRNA from 1 species
CCUACGGGCGGCAGCAGUGGGGAAUAUUGGACAAUGGGCGAAAGCCUGAUCCAGCCAUGCCGCGUGUGUGAAGAAGGCCUUCGGGUUGUAAAGCACUUUCAGUGGGGAAGAAAGCCUUGGGGCUAAUACCCUCGAGGAAGGACAUCACCCACAGAAGAAGCACCGGCUAACUCCGUGCCAGCAGCCGCGGUAAUACGGAGGGUGCGAGCGUUAAUCGGAAUUACUGGGCGUAAAGCGCGCGUAGGCGGUCUGAUAAGCCGGUUGUGAAAGCCCCGGGCUCAACCUGGGAACGGCAUCCGGAACUGUCAGGCUAGAGUGCAGGAGAGGAAGGUAGAAUUCCCGGUGUAGCGGUGAAAUGCGUAGAGAUCGGGAGGAAUACCGGUGGCGAAGGCGGCCUUCUGGACUGACACUGACGCUGAGGUGCGAAAGCGUGGGUAGCAAACAGGAUUAGAUACCCCUGUAGUC